rnacentral:lncRNA from 1 species
GAAACCUGCCGCCGCUCGCCGCCUCUUUGUCUGCUCCGGGACUUGGAACAAAAGGGGGAACUCUGAUGAACUCUCUCCUCCCCUCUCCCCCGGACGCCCGGGUAUCUCCCUCUCGCAACUUUGCCGCCGCGACUUUCUCCGCUGUCAGGCCACACAAAAGUGUCGGAGCGCCUCGCAGACUGCAGCAAGGGAAGUGUCCCUUGAAAAUGCGACGAGGUGGGGAAGAGGUGCGAUCAUUGUCGUCAGCAUCUAGAAAGCAUCACGCAGGACCUUGACCUCCAUACUGCACUAUUCUUACUGGAUCAUCCUAUCAGUGGACAUUAUUGGAAGUACCAAUGCUGCCUCAAGUCCUUCCUGGAUGGAAAGUUUUCAAACUUCUUCAUUUGGAGUUAUUUAAACAUGAGGAUGUUGGGAUUUUUGAUGACGCCUUCCCUAUGUGGAUUACUACAAUUUGGUUACUGGGAAUUCUCUACCUCAAAGAAGGGGAGCUACCAAGUCCUGAGGACAGGCGACACUUUUGAAGGCAAAGCUGAGAGGAUUGCCUGUCAAAGUUGUGAACGUAAAAAUUGGCCUGCCUGCUGGAAGCUGCCCAAACCUUCUUUUCUUCUUGCAUGUUAAAAGAACACUUCCUUCCUGUCCCUCCAGCCAGGCUGCUUGGAAUGACUCAUGGUUCUGCAUAAGCUUGCAG